AUGUAGGCAUUGAAAUAUAUUUCGGACCUACAGGCAAAGCAAGGGAGACAUGGCAGGCUUUAAUAACCUAUGUUAACCUCAAAGGUGGCUGCUUUGUUCUAACUGCAAACCAAUUCUGGAUAGGAAGGGAAGACUAUUAUCUGCUGUUACUAUAGUGUAUCUUGUAUUUCAUUUAUAAACUAAUCACCAUCCAGAUCCAUCAUUCAGUUCUAAAUGAUGUGGUCCAUGAAUUGGUCAAGGUUUGAACUACGUAGGAUCACAUGCUCUUGAUAACAUCACAUGCACUAGAGGUAGUGUUGUUAUAUCACCAUCCGGCCCGGUCCAUUUUAGCUAGACCUAAUACCAAGGGGAGUCUUCUCAAGAUCUUUAAGAGAAUUGUUCGAGCAAAGCUAGAUUUUAGUGGUAUUGGGCAUCGAGUGGGACUAAACAUUGUCAAGCAAACU